GCACGGAGUAGCCAAAGCUGUUCCUGCCCAGUGGUCACAGUUGGCGCCAGCCCUAGAGUCUAGAUGGGUUGAUGUCCACUGUGACCAUAGUGCAGGCCAGCAGGAGGCCAGGUGGAGGGG
rnacentral:precursor_RNA from 7 species